rnacentral:rRNA from 1 species
GUAGGGAAUAUUGGGCAAUGGAUGCAAGUCUGACCCAGCCAUCCCGCGUGCCGGAAGAAGGCCCUCAGGGUUGUAAACGGCUUUUGACGGUGAAGAAUCGACAGGAUGCGUCCUGUUUUGACGGUAGCCGUUGAAUAAGCACCGGCUAACUCCGUGCCAGCAGCCGCGGUAAUACGGAGGGUGCGAGCGUUGUCCGGAUUUAUUGGGUUUAAAGGGUGCGUAGGCUGGAAGGUCAGUCAGCGGUGAAAAGCUAUCGCUUAACGAUAGUCUUGCCGCAGAUACUUCCUUUCUUGGAUGAGGAGGAGGCCACUGGAACGGAUGGUGUAGCGGUGAAAUGCAUAGAUAUCAUCCAGAACACCGAUUGCGAAGGCAGGUGGCUGUACCUUAAUCGACGCUGAUGCACGAAAGCAUGGGGAGCAAACAGGAUUAGAAACCCUUGUAGUCC